UGUCAAAAAGUUAACGGCGUCAUACAUUAAAAUACGGAGGGAGUAUUACACAUUGGAUCACUUUUUUGUUUGCCGCUCGUUGAUUUCAUUAGCGAGUUUACCCACAGCACAAUAAACUAAUGAAUAUUCCAUCUGACCUUGAUUUCUUUACUCCUUGAUUUAGUUGCUUGUCUUCUACCAUAUUUCCCCUUAAAUAAUCAUGUGAGCUUAGAACAAGUCACUGUAUUGAGCUUGCAGGCGACAGCUACAGCAGCCAGCUACCACCAGGCUUGAUCUUGUCGGUUCCUCAAGCUCGGGAACAGAGCAGAGAGAGAAGGAAUCCUGGUGCUUUGUUUGAUCAUCCCUCAGUCAGAUCCAUGGCGCAGCUGCUUAAUAGAGAAGAGGAGGAAAGAUUGAUGGAGAAGAAGGGUGGUCCAAUUUGAAACUUUUAUAAAUUUAUUAGUCCAAAGUUGCUCUUAGCCACCAGCGCCGUUCCAAGCCUCGUUCAGUCGUUCCUGCGAGCCCUACCGUGUGCUCACGACGCCACCAGUGCUCACGACGCGCGCGCGUCCGCAUAUGGCCACCGUCUCCGGCACCGACCGCCUCCGUGACCUCCACGCCUUCGACGACACCAAGGCCGGCGUCAAGGGCCUCGUCGACGCCGGCGUCACCACCGUCCCCUACUUCUUCCGCCACCACCCCGACCCCCUCCCCGUCGCCGCGCCAAGGCCGACGUCGACCUCGCCAAGGCCGACGUCGACCGGGGACGGGUGGUCGCCGAGGUCAGGGCGGCCGCGGAGACGGUCGGCUUCUUCCAGGUGGUCAACCAUGGCGUCGCCGGGGAGCUGAUGGAGGAGAUGCUCGCGGCGGUGCGGCGCUUCCACGAGGAGCCCCUGGAGGCGAAGGUGCCGUACUACACCAGGGACGUCGCCAGCAAGGUCUGGUUCAACUCCAACUUCGGCCUCUUCCGUAACGGGUUCCGUUCGCCGGAGGCCAACUGGCGCGACACGAUGUUCGUUGAGAUGUUCCCGGAGGCGCCCUCGCCGGAAGAGAUCCCGCCGCCGUGCAGGGGCGUGCUGGAGGUGUACGCCGCGGCGGUGCGGCGGCUCGGGGAACGGCUGUUCGAGCUGCUGUCGGAGGCGCUGGGCCUCCCCGUGGGGUACCUUGGCCGCGACGCCGGGUGCAUGGACGGGCUGAGCCUGAGCGUGGCGGCGCACUACUACCCGGCGUGCCCGGAGCCGGAGGCGACGAUGGGCGCGACCAAGCACUCCGACCCCAGCUUCCUCACAGUGCUGCUGCAGGACACCUCCGGCGGCCUGCAGGCGGUGCUCCCGCGGCCUCCGGAGGAGCGGUGGGUGGACGUGCCCCCGGUGGCCGGCGCGCUGGUGGUGAACGUCGGCGACCUCCUCCAGCUGGUGUCGAACGACAGGCUCCGGAGCGUGGAGCACCGGGUGCUGCCCACCGGCGCCGCGGGGCCGGCCCGCGUGUCGGUGGCGUGCUUCUUCCGCCACGCGUACGCGUCGACGAGGCCGUGUGUCCCGGUCGUCGUCGGCGGCGGCGGGGCACGGGCGGCGGCGGUGUACAGGAGCACGACGGCGGGGGAGUUCCUGGCGCACUACAACGGCAAGGGGCUCGACGGGCGGUCGGCGCUGGACCACUUCAGGCUUCCGGCGGCGGCGUCGUCUCCUCCUCCUCCGCUGUAGCUGGCUGGAUGAAUCCAGAGCUUCACGACGGAUGAUGGUCGUACGUCGUACGUGGCGAUUUGGCAAACCAUUCAACAUUUACGUCAAUGCUUAAUUAUUGGUUGGUUGGAUGAUGGGACAAAUGCAGAUAUACAUAUGCCCAGAUAUAUAGCGCGUUAAAACUAGUGAUUUGUGCUAAUAAAUGUUAGAUCCGAUCCCCGUAUUUAAUUUCUUGUGAUUUUGGGUUACAGUACUAAUACAUAAUAAGCAACAGCAGGGAUUGUGUAUACAGUCACUACAACGUAAUCGAUUUUUGAGCAUAAGAUCCCUUAA